CAAGAAGAGGUACUCGGAGCUGGAGCAGCAGCUGCUGGAGAGAUCCGGAGAGCUGGAGCAGCAGCGGCUAAGGGACACAGAGCACAGCCAAGACCUGCAGAGUGCCCUCAUCCGGCUGGAGGAGGAGCCGCAGAGGAGUGCCAGCCUGGCCCAGGUGAAAGCCAUGCUCCGAGAACAUCUGGACCAGGCAGGCUCGGCCAACCAGGCUCUGAGUGAGGACAUACAAAAGGUGACCAAUGACUGGACACGCAGCCGCAAGGAGCUGGAGCAGCGGGAGGCGGCAUGGAGGCGCGAGGAGGAGUCUUUCAAUGCCUACUUCAGCAAGAAGCACAAUCACCUGCUCCUGCUAUGGAGGCAGGUGGUGGGGUUCCGGCGGCUGGUCAGCGAGGUGAAGAUGUUCACCGAGAGAGUGACAGAGCUGGGCCUGGCAGUGAAGCGUCUUCAGAAGCAGAAUCCGGAGAAGGAUCAGGUCAACACGGACCUCACUGAGAAGCUUGAGGCCCUGUCCGUCCUGUCGGACACAGAGCGGCGUCCAGCUGAGCGGCUCCGAGCGCACCGCGGAUGACUCCUUCGGCAGCCUGCGGGGGCUCUCGGCCCAGCAGACCCCGUCCCCACCGCGGCGCUCCUCGCCCGGCCGAGGCCGUUCACCCCGCCGAGGCCCCUCCCCGGCCUGCUCAGACUCCUCCACGCUCGCCCUGAUCCACUCCACCUUACACAAGCACGAGCUGCAGGUCCAGGACAUGCGUGGGCGCUAUGAGGCAAGCCAGGACCUGCUGGGCACCCUGCGGAAGCAGCUUAGCGACAGCGAGAGUGAGCGGCGGGCCCUAGAGGAACAGCUGCAGCGCCUGCGGGACAAGACCGACAGCACCAUGCAGGCCCACGAGGACGCCCAGCGCGAGGUGCAGCGGCUGCGGAGCGCCAAAGAGCUCCUGAGAAGGGAGAAGAGCAACCUGGCCCACAGCCUGCAGGUGGCCCAGCAGCAGGCCAAGGAGCUGCGGCAGGAGCGGAAGAAGCUGCAGGCUGCCCAGGAGGAGCUGCGGCGCCAGCGGUACUGGCUGGGGGAAGAGCAGGAGGACGCAGUGCAGGAUGGUGUGCGGGUGCGCCGGGAGCUUGAGCACAGCCAUAGACAACUGGAGCAGCUGGAAGGGAAGCGCUCAGUCCUGGCCAAGGAGCUGGUGGAGGUGAGGGAGGCGCUGAGCCGCGCCACACUGCAACGGGACAUGCUGCAGGCCGAGAAGGCCGAGGUGGCCGAGGCGCUGACCAAGGCUGAGGGCAGAGGAGGCCUCCCUGCAGGACUCCCUGUCCAAGCUGAGCGCCCUCAACGAGAGCCUUGCUCAGGACAAGUUGGAUCUGAACCGCCUUGUCACCCAGGCCACAGCUGGAGGAAGAAAAGUGCGCCCUGCAGGGCCGGCAGCGGCAGGCGAAGCAGGAGGCCACAGUGGCACGGGAAGAGCAGGAGCGGCUGGAGGCGCUGCGGUUGGAACAGGAGGUGGCGCGGCAGGGCCUGGAGGGCUCCCUAUGAGCGGCGGAGCAGGCCCAGGAGGCAGUGGAGCAGCAGCUCCCCACGCUGCAUCAUGAGUGCAGCCGGCUGCAGGAGCAGCUAGCGCAGAAUGCCAUCACCUCUGCACAAAUGCGAACAGAACCAGCCCCUUCCUCUACGGUCAGUAGUUACUGAAUAAAAUUGGUUUUCAUCGA
ensembl:lncRNA CROCCP3 CROCC pseudogene 3